rnacentral:rRNA from 1 species
UGGGGAAUAUUGCACAAUGGGCGCAAGCCUGAUGCAGCCAUGCCGCGUGUGUGAAGAAGGCCUUCGGGUUGUAAAGCACUUUCAGCGGGGAGGAAGGCGAUAAGGUUAAUAACCUUGUCGAUUGACGUUACCCGCAGAAGCAGCACCGGCUAACUCCGUGCCAGCAGCCGCGGUAAUACGGAGGGUGCAAGCGUUAAUCGGAAUUACUGGGCGUAAAGCGCACGCAGGCGGUCUGUCAAGUCGGAUGUGAAAUCCCCGGGCUCAACCUGGGAACUGCAUUCGAAACUGGCAGGCUAGAGUCUUGUAGAGGGGGGUAGAAUUCCAGGUGUAGCGGUGAAAUGCGUAGAGAUCUGGAGGAAUACCGGUGGCGAAGGCGGCCCCCUGGACAAAGACUGACGCUCAGGUGCGAAAGCGUGGGGAGCAAACAGG